AGGUUGAGGAGGAAGCUGAUGCAGACCUUGGUAGCUCAACCCAGGCAAUGAAAUCCUAUCGAGAACACCACAACGAACGCGAGAGGAGGCGUAGAGAUAAAAUAAGUGACAGGAUAGAUCAGUUGCGAGAACUUGUGCCCGGCUGCAAAAAGACAGACAGAGGUUCGGUGCUGGAGGAAACAUGCCGCUACUUGAAAUCACUCCAGAAUCAAGUAAACAUGUUACGCAACAGGGGCACCGGCACGGUCACCAGCACGGGCACGGGCACGGGCACGGGGGUGAGUAUGAACCUGGCUACGGUGCACUUCCACGUACCUGUGCCAGUUUGUACAUUGCAAAUUCCUGCUAACACAGCAGCUAAUUUGCCACCGGUUGCUAAUUAUAAUAUGCAUGGUCAACACUGUUGCUGUUUCUAUCACACAGGAUAUUAUCAUCAA